rnacentral:rRNA from 1 species
GUUUAGAACGUCGUGAGACAGUUCGGUCCCUAUCUGCCGUGGGCGUUGGAAGAUUGAAGGGGGCUGCUCCUAGUACGAGAGGACCGGAGUGGACGAACCUCUGGUGUUCGGGUUGUGUCGCCAGACGCAUUGCCCGGUAGCUAAGUUCGGAAUCGAUAACCGCUGAAAGCAUCUAAGCGGGAAGCGAGCCCUGAGAUGAGUCUUCCCUGACCCCUUGAGGGUCCUAAAGGGUUGUUCGAGACUAGAACGUUGAUAGGCAGGGUGUGUAAGCGCUGUGAGGCGUUGAGCUAACCUGUACUAAUUGCCCGUGAGGCUUAACCAUACAACACCCAAAGGGUUUUG